CAUCCGCGACCGCCGAGUCCUGUCCGCGCGGGUGGUGCCACCGAACUCAUCGGGCAGGAGCGGGGAACCCACACGUUUCCCGGACCGCACGCGGUCCUCGGGGUGAAGUCACGUCACGUGACCGGGCUCUCCGGCCCGAACCCGACAGCUAACCUCGCAGGCGCGUGGAGGAAACAG
rnacentral:sRNA from 2 species